rnacentral:rRNA from 1 species
UACGUAGGGUGCAAGCGUUGUCCGGAAUUAUUGGGCGUAAAGAGCUCGUAGGCGGCUUGUCACGUCGACUGUGAAAACCCGGGGCUCAACUCCGGGCCUGCAGUCGAUACGGGCUGGCUUGAGUGCGGUAGGGGAGACUGGAAUUCCUGGUGUAGCGGUGAAAUGCGUAGAUAUCUGGAGGAACACCGGUGGCGAAGGCGGCAUCCUGGACCGAUACUGACGCUGAGGAGCGAAAGCCAGGGGAGCAAACGGGG